AUUUGUAUUUUAUAAUAUAGCAUUUGUAAAUUCUGAACGCUGAUUGGCUAAGAGCCGUGUUGAUAUAACUCAAUGUCAACACGGAAACGUUGGAAAAUUUCUUUCUUUAUAUUUCUUUGUGCUAUAUUAUAAAACAAAUAAAAAACUUUUUUCCGUAUUGAUAUAUAGUUAUAUCAACACUCGUGGAAGUUGGGAAAACUCGAAAUUUUGUGAAAACACUCCGCCCUUUCUCGUUUUCCCAAUUUCCACUCGUGUUGAUAUAACUGUAUAUCAACACGGAAAAUGUUUUAUAUUUGUUAAAUAUUAAAUGUAAAUCCAAG